rnacentral:rRNA from 1 species
AUUGAACGCUGGCGGAAUGCUUUACACAUGCAAGUCGAACGGCAGCACGGGGGCAACCCUGGUGGCGAGUGGCGAACGGGUGAGUAAUACAUCGGAACGUGCCCAGUCGUGGGGGAUAACGUAGCGAAAGUUACGCUAAUACCGCAUACGAUCUACGGAUGAAAGCGGGGGAUCGCAAGACCUCGCGCGAUUGGAGCGGCCGAUGUCAGAUUAGGUAGUUGGUGGGGUAAAGGCCUACCAAGCCGACGAUCUGUAGCUGGUCUGAGAGGACGACCAGCCACACUGGGACUGAGUCACGGCCCAGACUCCUACGGGAGGCAGCAGUGGGGAAUUUUGGACAAUGGGCGCAAGCCUGAUCCAGCCAUUCCGCGUGCAGGAUGAAGGCCUUCGGGUUGUAAACUGCUUUUGUACGGAGCGAAAAGGCUCUCUCUAAUACAGGGGGCUCAUGACGGUACCGUAAGAAUAAGCACCGGCUAACUACGUGCCAGCCGCCGCAGUAAAAC